CGGGCGUCCCCUCAGCCUCGCGCCUCCGUGUUGCUAGAGCGCCCCUGCGCGAGCCUGGUGCGCCGCCGAGCGUCACCGAGCCGGGCCAGAUAGCUGCAGUGGCCAGGGCUGAGCCAGGCUGAAGCCAGGAGCUGACUGCAACCCAGGUCUCCCACGCAGGUGGCAGCUGCCCCUCAGGGUCUGCUUUGGCGAGAAGCUGGAGUCAGGUACUGAAGCCACGCGUGAAAUGCAGAUAAGGACACAAAGUGUAGAGAGCAACUUCAGAAGAACUGAGGAGAGAAACUGACAAUUUCAGUGUGUAUGAUUAUUAAUGAGGAGGCUAUGAACAUUGGAGAGUGAUAAAGCGUUCCCUGUUCUCCAGUAAGUGCUGUGUGAAAUCAAAUGAAGUGUGAAGGCACAGCAAAGAACAAAGGAAGGGACAGAAGCAUGUGUCUUUCUCCCUCAGACACAACACCAGGCACGUCUCAGGAAGACUCCACCUGCAGACUCCCCAGCUAUAAGACUGCCUUCAACACCCAACGCCUCCCUUCCCAGCUCAUUCCCAGAAGUAUUUCUGAAGGGAAUCCAAACUGAUCCAAGCGACUUGUCAGUCCCACAGCUAUCAGUGAAAGCCACCGAGGCUGGGCUCUGAAGUCAGUGCCUUUCCUGUGGUCCAGCUCCCUCCACUGUCGUCCCGGACCACCUGCAAGUAUUGAGAGCAUUGCAGCAUUCUCAGGAUCACAGAGAAAACCAUGCGGCCCAGAAGCGCUGGCCAACCGGAGGAUCAGGUUAG